rnacentral:sRNA from 1 species
UCUGCUGCUGAAAACACAGAGUAACGGGUUGGUGAUUCGGCUGUAGACAUCCCUGCUGCCCUUUGCUGGGUAUGCCCUCAAGUGAACAUGAGUCUUCAUCUUUCUCUGACAAGCUACGGUUAGAGGAAUCCAGUUGCCCUGGCAAACAGACCUGGCUGGAAGGGAUGGAACACACGCUCGCCUGCGUCCCAAAGGGAAACCCAGCUCCAGCCUUGGUGUGUACCUGGAAUGGGGUGGUCUUUGACCUUGAAGUGCCACAGAAGGCAACCCAGAACCACACUGGAACCUACUGCUGCACAGCCACUAACCAGCUGGGCUCUGUCAGCAAAGACAUUGCUGUCAUUGUUCAAGGACUGGAUGAAGGAAUCAGCUCUACCCUCUUUGUCAUUAUUACUGUUACGUCUGGAGUGGGUGUCAUCACCAUAGCACUGUAUUUGAGCUAUCGGCCCUGCAAAGUGGACAGGAGGAAAUUGCUCUAUAGGCAGAAAGAGGAGGACAAAGAGGAGGAAAGCCAGUUUGCUGUUCAGGAAGAGAAAAGUACAACU